UGUUUCAGAAUAUGUUAACUGUUCACCCAGGACUGAAUUUCAGUAACAGACAUGUUUCAGAGAGGUGGGGCAGAGUUCCACACUUCCUGUUGAACCAAGCUAUGCAGGACUGCAUUCUGAUCUCAUCUGCAGCAAUACAAAUGGUAAGAAUUGCAGUGGAAGACAUGUAUCUGACAUUCAUCAGAUGGCCUUUCAUGAUACAUCUGAGGAUUUUGCAAUGUGUGGACAACAUGCAGACACAGCACAAAUCAUUAAAUGACUUGGGUAGAUCAAGUCUGUACAUGCCAGAGGUGCUCAGGUAAUAAAUAACUUUGAGCAAACAGAUACAAUUAUCUACAAUGCAAUAUAUUUGUAUACAUAGCCCCUCAUUGCUGUUUUGGUCACUUAUCUACCAUGGCCAGAACAGCAAUUUCUAAACCUACGAAAAGCUGGAAUUAGUUUUGAAAGAGAAAAAAGGCUUUGUCAGGAAAGAGAUUGAUUAUUCCACUUUGGUAGACAUCAUGAAAUGUUUGAUAUUGCUGGGUUGGGUAUGUGUGGCUCUUAGGUUUUGCUGAGUGACCUUUUGUAGCUCAAUAAUUAGAGAGCUUUGUGAUGGGCACUUUACAAACCUUAAGAUAAGUGUGUUGUGUAUAAGGCUCUGUUUCCUAAGCUGGACGGGAUUCCAAGCUUUCAGACAGAUAAAUCAUGUAUAUGGCUUCUGGAAGAUUCAGAAGUUAAACUGUUCGUCUCCUGGUGAUAAGGCUCAGUUAAGUAUCCCCUAAAACUCUUAAAAUAUAGGUCUCAGUCCUACAGUAUAAGGCUCAUUGAUUCAUUGGCUUCAGCUAAAGAUUUACUUGAAAACAAGUGUCCAUAACACAUGGCAGGAUUAAAACAUUAUCUUUUUUUUUUUUAUUGUUUUGUUUUGUUUCUGUGAAGCUUUUACCUGAGAGUAAGGAAAACUGGUGUUACAGCCAUAUGGAUACUGGGCUCAAUGGUAUAAAAUUCCUAGUGGUCUACAGAAAUUGAAUCUGACUGGUACUUUUGUCUGACAGAACAGAUCUAGUUACCA